rnacentral:rRNA from 1 species
UGCCCAGUGGUUUACGAGUUAAGAAAUAAAAUUACUUUAAGUAAACUUAAAGGACGCGGUAUCCUAACUGUGAUAACGUAGCAUAAUCAUUCGCCAUUUAAUUGAUGGAUAGUAUGAACGGUGAAACGAGUAUAACACUCUCUCAGAAGAAGAUUCUAUUAAACUGAAUUAGUAGUGAAGAUGCUACUUAAAACUGUAAGACGAGAAGACCCUAUAGAGCUUGACUAUAUCUUUUUAAUCUUUUAAGUUUACUUAAUCUUCAGAAAGAAUGGUAGUUUAGUUGGGGCGACUGCUUUUUAGUAAAAACAAAAGCAAGCAACAUUAAUUGAUUGAUUUACUGUAUAAUUUAUAAAUUUAACAGUUACAAUUGUAGGCAAUAAUGACCCGCUAAUGUUGAAAAACACUAUUAGCGAACAAUAAAUAAAAGUUACCUUAGGGAUAACAGGAUAAUCUUGUUUUAGAGACCUUAUCGAAAACAAGGUUUGUCACCUCUAUGUUGAAUUAAGAUAUCCUAAAAGUGCAGCAGCUUUUAA